rnacentral:rRNA from 1 species
GGCGAACGCUGGCGGCGUGCUUAACACAUGCAAGUCGAACGGAAAGGCCCUGCUUUUGUGGGGUGCUCGAGUGGCGUACGGGUGAGUAACACGUGAGUAACCUGCCCUUGACUUUGGGAUAACUUCAGGAAACUGGGGCUAAUACCGGAUAGGAGCUCCUGCUGCAUGGUGGGGGUUGGAAAGUUUCGGCGGUUGGGGAUGGACUCGCGGCUUAUCAGCUUGUUGGUGGGGUAGUGGCUUACCAAGGCUUUGACGGGUAGCCGGCCUGAGAGGGUGACCGGCCACAUUGGGACUGAGAUACGGCCCAGACUCCUACGGGAGGCAGCAGUGGGGAAUAUUGCACAAUGGGCGGAAGCCUGAUGCAGCAACGCCGCGUGCGGGAUGACGGCCUUCGGGUUGUAAACCGCUUUCGCCUGUGACGAAGCGUGAGUGACGGUAAUGGGUAAAGAAGCACCGGCUAACUACGUG